rnacentral:rRNA from 1 species
GACCAAUGCAGAGCAAUGGAAUUAGCUAUUGAGAAAGUUAUGCCUGACACAACACAACGAUGGUGCAAAUGGCAUGUGCUCAAAAAAGCAAAGGAAUAUCUUGGAUCGUAUUACACGAAACGCAGCAAAUUCAAGUCAGAUUUCCACAAAAUAGUACAACACAUGUUGACAGUAGACGAAUUUGAAUUAGCAUGGGAGCAGAUGAUUGAAACAUAUGGUCUGCAAAAGAACAAUUACCUCACCCAGAUAUAUGAGACAAGAGAGAAAUGGGCGAAGCCAUAUUUCCAUGGAAAGUUUUGUGCUAAGAUGACCAGUACGCAGAGCAGUGAAAGUGCCAACCACAUGUUGAAGACUUAUGUUCCAGCUAGUUGUCCAAUGCAUCUAUUUGUUCGUCAGUACAUGCGGCUUCUUUUUGAUAGAGAGGCAAGUGAGAACUAUGAAGAGAGGAGAACCAAAAUA